UACGAGAGGCCCAAACGUUAUUCGGAAUUACUGGGCUUAAAGAGUUCGUAGGCGGCAUUGCAAGUAGGGUGUGAAAGCCCUCGGCUCAACCGAGGAAUUGCGCUCUAAACUGCAGUGCUUGAGGAACCUAGAGGUGAGCAGAACAAAUGGUGGAGCGGUGAAAUGCGUUGAUAUCAUCUGGAAUACCGGAGGCGAAGGCGGCUCACUGGGAGUUUUCUGACGCUGAGGAACGAAAGCCAGGGUAGCGAACGGG
rnacentral:rRNA from 1 species